rnacentral:lncRNA from 1 species
UUAAUCCUUAAAAUUUAAAAAUUAAAAGCAACUAUGUUACUAUAUGUCUUAAGAAACGAAGCAUGCUUGAGUGAGUCUUGGAUCACCUGUUUUAGUCUCUUCUGGCUAGAAGAAUCAGUAAGAUCUUGACAGUAUUGUUGCAGGCACUUUGGUGAUGUGCUACCCUGAGAAAUCCUGAAUUGCACCAACAUAUCACUGGGGUCUCUUUAGCAAAAACCAUCCUUGUGAGCAUGUAGACUAUAUUAGAGUUUGUCAAGCAGAGCUCCCACAGAGCUGAGCCUUGCAAAGCACACAACAUCUGGAAAAGAAAGUUUCUUUGGAAAUCAGAUCAUGUAAAUAAGCCCGUAGGGGGCUAGUGGGUUGGGUAGCCCUGCUCAGUCGGUGAUGGAGGAAGCUGCUGCAGGGAGAUUCUGACACGAUGACCACUGGUCUGUCUAUGGGUCAUCCAUGCAAUUCCUCAUUGUUUUGACCCUCCUGACCAACCUCACUUCUCUCUUACCGCCAAUCAUAGAUCUCUGAAGAGAAACCUCUAGGCUGGACCACACACAGACCUGCAAACAAUGAGGCCCAGAAAACAGAUACUGCCUUUGUUAUCCAGUGGAUGAUUCCAACUCACAGCCAGCAAUCUAUGCUUUCAAUAACGAGGAGAAGGACUGACAAGAAUCAAGCACAUACAAGGAAAGCAGUCAUGUGUUUAAGGACAUACAUGAAAAUAUCCAACAGGUUUCCCGCAGCACUCCAUAAGUCAAAUUGCAUAGCGAGCUUGAUAUUCAAGUUAAAAAAAAAAAAAAAGAGAGAGAGAGAAAAGAAAAAAGCUUUUGUUUUGUCUAUAUUUUUUAAAAAAGCGUUUUCAAGUAUUAUUUUACUGUUUUUAAUUAUUAAUGAAUUAUUAUUUAAUUAUUAAUCUCAAGGCAACAAGCUCUGCUAUUAGCUCCCUUUGACAAAGGAGAAAAUAAAGGUUAAGAAAAAUCUGAUUGCUCUUGACUAUCUGAGGGUACAAAACUAAUUAUUAUUAUUAUUUUUUGAAAUGGAGUUUAGCUCUUGUUGCCCAGGCUGGAGUGCAAUGGCUCAGUCUCGGCUCACGGUAACAUCUGCCUCCUGGGUUCAAGCGAUUCUCCUGCCUCAGCCUCACAAGUAGCGGGGUAUUACAGGCAUGUGCCACCACGCACAGCUAAUUUUGUAUUUUUAGUAGACAUGGGGUUUCACCAUGUUGGCCAGGCUGGUCUCAAACUCCUGACCUCAGCUGAUCUGCCUGCCUUGGCCUCCCAAAGUGCUGGGAUUACAGGCGUGAGCCACCACGCCCAGCCUGAAGCUAAUUAUUAAGACUGUUAAAUAGAGCCUGAGUUUGAGACUAAGAUGCUGUCUACUAGGUAAAAAUAUUUUUCUGUAGCCCAUUUAAUCAUUAAGCACAAUAUAAAUUUUGAUCUUCACAUACAUUUUUACCAUUAGAGUUUAAGCAUAUUUAUUUCAUAAAGGAAAUAUAAAAUGACCUCUCAUUUAUUUAUUUAUCUAUCUAUCUUUGGUAAAGGAUGUCCAAAAACUAACCAGUCUGAAAUGGUAUUGAUUUAAGAAAAUACAUUUUCAUGAAAACCAGCCACUGGAGCUUGGAACUGCUUUUAUUCAUCUCCCUCCCCAUACCAGCAACAACAGUGCUUCAACAGAAAAGGAAAUUUAUAGAGAUCGAGAUGGGACCCAUCAUUAUGGAGCAUGGGCCACAUGGGGGUGAGCACAUAUCCAGGAAUAAUCUCGAGUGGAGGUGCCUGGAAGAAGCCUCAGGACCACUGGAGUUGAAAGAUGACAAGACAUAAUGGGAGGAUGAUUGGAUUGAAAGCGGAGUCACUGAUACACCACUUUCCAGGUGCCACCUCUUUGCAUCAUAUUGACCCUGUUAAGUUUAAUAUGAUACAGGUAAGGCUGACAGACAGAGCUGAGAGCCUGGAUUAAAAGCAUAAAACCCACAAAGCCGAAUUUAAUGAAGCAAACUUUUGCCAACGACCCUGGUGUUUGGUACAAACCUGAUAGCUUUCCUAGUGCAAGUUCUGGGUCACAGAGCAUAUGUUGGCUAGCAUCUACUCUCAUUCCCGAUUAAUUAUAGAUGCUGGAUCUAUAAGAUCCUUUGUUAGAAAUAACUAAAUAAUAA